UACGUAGGGGGCUAGCGUUGUCCGGAAUCAUUGGGCGUAAAGCGCGUGUAGGCGGCUCGGUAAGUCUGCUGUGAAAGUCCAGGGCUCAACCCUGGGAUGCCGGUGGAUACUGUCGAGCUCGAGUCCGGAAGAGGCGAGUGGAAUUCCUGGUGUAGCGGUGAAAUGCGCAGAUAUCAGGAAGAACACCAAUGGCGAAAGCAGCUUUCUGGGACGGUACUGGACGCUGAGACGCGAAAGCGUGGGGAGCGAACAGG
rnacentral:rRNA from 1 species